rnacentral:rRNA from 1 species
AUGCAACGACGGGUGAGCGCCCCUGGCGGCGCCGCCCGAUCUACUCCCUCCGGCAUCCCCUGCUGCCGCCAGGACCAGAUCCGAAAUCUCCACACUGCCCUCUCUCUUCAGCCCCUCGGAGCCCUCGAUAUGGAUGCUCGCCGGCCCGCGGGGACCCCCUUGCCCGCGACUGCUACGCCGUCAUCUGCGCCUUCGUCGACCGCUCUGGCCCCAUCCCUCACCGCUCCUGCUCUGGCGGCCGCGCUCGCCGCGGCCUUCCUCGCCGGCCACAAGGCCGGCCCGGCCGUACGAGGACGUCUCGUCUCCUGCAAGCUCCGCUCCACGACUACGGCGCCGGCCAGCCAAUCUCCGCCAACCGCCGCCCCCGGCCACCUUGCCGGUGCCUCCUCCGGCAUUUUGCCGGUGCCCUCUGGCCUCCUAGGCUCGCCGGCGUCGUCGCCUCGAUCCACGGCUCCCACGUCAAGCACCCAUCUGCCCCGGUCAAAUCUGGAUCGGGGACAUGUGCCUCCGCCGCCAGUGCCACGUCUGCGCCCUGUGGUCCCUGUAACCCCUCCGGAGAUGUCGGCUAUGCUGCCUUGCCAUAAUGGCGGCCACAUCCGCCCGCCCGCUGAGCCGUCGAGCCCCUGCUGCCUCACCUCUGCUGUUAAUGCCGGCCAGCUCAACACCUGUGGGCGCGAGGCGGAGGCGACCGGAGGCUGGCAACUCGUCAAAUCGCACUGCGGCCCGCGCCACCCAGAUUUGGCCGCCCAAGCAUUCAAGCCCUCCUCCAUCCCGAGCUGGCUUAAAGGCCGUUGUUGUCGCUGCCUGGCCCCUGGUCACCGCGCCUUCGUCUGCCGCGACCCCGUUCGGUGCGCGCGUUGCUUGGAAAACGGCCACCGGGCUCGCGGCUGCUGCAACAAGUGGAGGCCUCUUAGCUCCCUCGCAAGCCUCGUCGUACCGCCGCCGCUUCCUCGCCCUCGACUUGCUGUUGCGACGGUCCAAGAUCCUGCUCCUCGGUUCGGUCCAGGCAGGGGCUGGCCUCUUCCCCAACUUGGCCAGCCACAACUAUUAGACUAUGCUGGCAUCGGUUCGAUGCCACGACCUGAUGACUUUGUAGUCGUCCCGGCCACAACGGAGAGGCAGGCCGAGUCGGCAUCGAUCAUUGUGGGGCAGACUGAGCUCCUCCACGCUGAGCUUCGUGAUUGCAUUGUGCGUGUUGGGAAUGUUUUGGCAAGUGCAGAGGCCGCUGUCGCUAAACUCCAAGUUGUGCCCAUUGUGACCCCGUACCCGAGAUCCAGGUUGAUUCUGUCGAUGGGGAGGCAGGAAUGUAUGGAGAUCUUUCCCCUCGUGCUACAUCGUGCCCGUCGUCACUGCAUGUCAUGCCGAUUGCUUCUGGGGGUGAAGCCGUUGUCAAGGUCGUGGCUCCGGUGCUGCAGAUUAUGCCUGAGUUGUAGAAGCUCUGUGAGGAGCCCACUUCGCCUAUUUCGAUGGUGCUACCUAAGGAGUCAGGGUCGCUUGGAGGGGCCUUGGCGAUGCCAACUGCGACCUCACCGCAGUCGUUGGAGCCCAGUGAGCCGCUCGCCUUUGUGGACCGUGAAGGUUUGGAUGCUGUUGUUGCUCUCUCACCUGUGGCUGUUGGGCAGGCGACGCCUGAUGUGGUCGGUACUUUGGCACCUAAUUCCGCGGCGCUGA